rnacentral:rRNA from 1 species
AUAUCAAUAAGCGGAGGAAAAGAAACUAACAAGGAUUCCCCUAGUAACGGCGAGUGAAGCGGGAAGAGCUCAAAUUUGAAAUCUGGUGGACUCAGUCCAUCCGAGUUGUAAUCUAUAGAAACGUUUUCCGUGCUGGCCCAUGUACAAGUCCCUUGGAACAGGGCGUCAUAGAGGGUGAGAAUCCCGUCCUUGACAUGGACUACCAGUGCUCUGUGAUACGUUUUCAACGAGUCGAGUUGUUUGGGAAUGCAGCUCAAAAUGGGUGGUAAAUUCCAUCUAAAGCUAAAUAUUGGCGAGAGACCGAUAGCGAACAAGUACCGUGAGGGAAAGAUGAAAAGCACUUUGGAAAGAGAGUUAAACAGUAU